UCUAAACACCAGGGGUGCAAGCGUUUUUAAACUUGCUGAGAAAAACCCUUACAACCUGUUCAGGAUAAUGCCUGCGAAGGGAGAGUGAUAUGGGAAAAAA
rnacentral:ncRNA from 2 species